AAUGAACGCUGGCGGCAGGCUUAACACAUGCAAGUCGAGCGGAGUGAUGGUGCUUGCACUAUCACUUAGCGGCGGACGGGUGAGUAAUGCUUAGGAAUCUGCCUAUUAGUGGGGGACAACAUCUCGAAAGGGAUGCUAAUACCGCAUACGUCCUACGGGAGAAAGCAGGGGAUCACUUGUGACCUUGCGCUAAUAGAUGAGCCUAAGUCGGAUUAGCUAGUUGGUGGGGUAAAGGCCUACCAAGGCGACGAUCUGUAGCGGGUCUGAGAGGAUGAUCCGCCACACUGGGACUGAGACACGGCCCAGACUCCUACGGGAGGCAGCAGUGGGGAAUAUUGGACAAUGGGGGGAACCCUGAUCCAGCCAUGCCGCGUGUGUGAAGAAGGCCUUAUGGUUGUAAAGCACUUUAAGCGAGGAGGAGGCUCUUUUGGUUAAUACCCAAGAUGAGUGGACGUUACUCGCAGAAUAAGCACCGGCUAACUCUGUGCCAGCCGCCGCCGUAA
rnacentral:rRNA from 1 species